CUCGCUUUUAACACAGCCUUCUUUCACCUUUAUGAGGCGUCUUUUGUGAAGAGUGAGUGCUGCUACAGAGCGCCUUCCAGGGGAAAAGCCACGUAACUGAAGCAUCUGCCACUUUGCAACGUCCUCCUCUCUUCGGAAGUCCAAGUGACCAUUCAAGGCGAGGGUCUGCAGGCAGCCAAGACUGCGCAACUAAAGGUACUCAUGAAUGAAGACUUCCAGAACUGACUCAGAAAGAAGCCAGAAUGAUGCUGGAGGGUCAUGUGGAGCUUCUUUCCAGGUCCUUGGUGUUCAGAAGGAAAUAGUGAACAAGACACACAGAAAAGGCAGAAAAACAUUUACGAAAGGAGAAAUGAAGUACGCCCUACACAGCAAGAGCAAGCUGCCAAAAAAGCUUACAGCAGCCCUGAGGAUAAGGGAAAGGGGUAUUUCACUUUGGGCCAAGAAUCCAAGUCCCCCAGGCUUCCUGGGCACGUUUAACAGCUCCUCAUAGUCCUGUCCUCGGUGUUAGCUGUGCUUGUCCUUUCCCGUAAUUCACUCUGUUAGAAUUGUAUCCAUGAGAUGCAUGAGAUGUAACCCAUAUGAUGAGUUUGUCCUGGAGAAAUGUUAUUUGUAGACACCUUGUGGUGUUUUUUUGGGGGGUGGGAUAUUUUAUCCUAUUUUUGUUUUUUACCUGCAUUGGGAAUUUCCCCCCAAAAUUACUUGUGGACUACUAAUUAGUGGUUAUUGUUUGGGAGUUAUGGAGACAGGUUUCUCAGCGGGACCACGACCCUUAAAAAUUAAUGGGGAGGUAUUUCUUAGCCCGUGACUGAUAGUAAGGUCCAAUAUGGGCUGUCUUCACAACUCUUCUGCCUUUAUUUUUGGAUGGGCAGUGAGGUAACAGUCCACUGGACUGGUCAGAGCUAGACAAGGGGACUGCUGCAGCUGUGUCUUCAUCACAUAAAUGUGAGGCAGGGAGGGUUUCUCUCUUUAAGGCCUGAUGGAGCAUUUAGUUUGGCCAGAGACCUUCCUCUUGGGAGCAAGAAAAAACCCUGUAGUGCAGUAUUCAGAUAGAGGGAUAAAUCUAUUCUGCAGAUACUGAGCCUCAACUAUCCUUUCGCUCAUCCUUUGGGGCUCUGUUGAACACAUCUGGAGAAGUAUAUGUAUCAUUUAGGGUGGUGGGCUAGUCUGCAGCUUCUUUAUAAGCCAGUGUAGAGUUCAAGUUUCUUUACCUAUUUGUCCAACAAGAAAACUAGGGUUAAGAGAUAUUUGGAGCCUACAGAUAGAUACUUACAUAUGUUUAGUGAUCAGGUGUGAUUUGCUCAGAUAGGAAAGUGUGUGUGCUGUUUAUCAGCUCCCUGGAGAUGUGUUAUUUACCCGUGAUUUAGGAAAAGUUGAUUUAUACUGUGAUGCAGUGUGACUUGUAUAACUGAAAGUACACUGAUUUCACGUGAUUAUUCUUAAGAAGAUUAUCCCCUUACUUUUUCCAGGAUAAUAUCUACAGCUGGUUUCCUUUCACUUUUCUAGGUUAGUGAAAAGGGUAAGCACAACAUUUUAUGUCCGUUGAUCAGUAUUCUCAUUAGAGUUAAAUUCUCCUCAUUUUGACUAGGAUUCCUUGGUUCAUUCCAAGCCGGUUGUAUUUCAAAAUAUUUGUCAAACUUCUGCUGGAUGGAAAUUGAUUUUUUCUUCUUCCACCUCUAAUUCUCCACUAGAAAAAUGAAGAAAUUUGACUACAGAUGGCUUUUUUUUGGUAUUCUUCUCAGUGGGGAGUAUUGUUGAUUUUUUCUUCUUCAUGAUAGAGACCUUGAUCAAUAAAGCUAAGAUAAGAUAUACUUCUUACUAGCUAUGUCUAAAUGUUUGUACCUUGGGAAGUGUUUUAAAAACUUGGGCAAGGACUUUUAAAAAUUGAGUAAGACCUAUGACAAAAUAAUGCAGAAAAAACUUCAGGAAAUUUAAACUCAUAUUAGUUGGGCAAGCAAUAUCCUUUGAAAUGUGUAUUUCUCACCUUGCUAUGGUCAGGAAUCCUACUUCAGAUGGGCAAAUUUAUCAUUAAAUAUUCCUUAGGACUGUAAAAAGAAAAUCAUGCCAACAGAGUUAGCUUUUCAAAAUCUGGUAGAUAAUAAAUCUAAGUCUUUGUUUUAUGUGUGCUUAUUUACAUGUGUAUAUUGUAUGUCAUUCAUUUGUACUUGUGUUUGUAUAUCAUUUAGAUGGUACUAGGUUAAUUUAAAAGUAAGGGUGUUUAGUAAUGAAGAAAAUAUAAUGCCAAAUGGCUUUUAGUCCAUAUGACUUAAGCAUAUGUUUAGAGGAUAAAAUAAAGAUAUCAUUAGAAAUGUUAGCAUGCAUUUUUGCCUGAGUUAGCCAAUCAGAAUUAUGUUUUACAUGUUUUACUGUCAAAGGAGUGUUUUAAGUUUCACACAGGCUACAAGAAUAACCAAAG
ensembl:lincRNA